AGAGUUUGAUCCUGGCUCAGAACGAACGCUGGCGGCAGGCUUAACACAUGCAAGUCGAGCGCCCCGCAAGGGGAGCGGCAGACGGGUGAGUAACGCGUGGGAAUCUACCCUUGACUACGGAAUAACGCAGGGAAACUUGUGCUAAUACCGUAUGUGUCCUUCGGGAGAAAGAUUUAUCGGUCAAGGAUGAGCCCGCGUUGGAUUAGCUAGUUGGUGGGGUAAAGGCCUACCAAGGCGACGAUCCAUAGCUGGUCUGAGAGGAUGAUCAGCCACAUUGGGACUGAGACACGGCCCAAACUCCUACGGGAGGCAGCAGUGGGGAAUAUUGGACAAUGGGCGCAAGCCUGAUCCGGCCAUGCCGCGUGAGUGAUGAAGGCCCUAGGGUUGUAAAGCUCUUUCACCGGAGAAGAUAAUGACG
rnacentral:rRNA from 1 species